rnacentral:rRNA from 1 species
GGGUAUGGCUGUUCGCCAUUUAAAGUGGUACGCGAGCUGGGUUUAGAACGUCGUGAGACAGUUCGGUCCCUAUCUGCCGUGGGCGCUGGAGAACUGAGGGGGGCUGCUCCUAGUACGAGAGGACCGGAGUGGACGCAUCACUGGUGUUCGGGUUGUCAUGCCAAUGGCACUGCCCGGUAGCUAAAUGCGGAAGAGAUAAGUGCUGAAAGCAUCUAAGCACGAAACUUGCCCCGAGAUGAGUUCUCCCUGAGACUUAGAGUCUCCUGAAGGAACGUUGAAGACGACGACGUUGAUAGGCCGGGUGUGUAAGCGCAGCGAUGCGUUGAGCUAACCGGUACUAAUGAACCGUGAGGCUUAACCUUACAACGCCGAAG